CACGUAGGCUGUUAUGUAAGUCAGGGGUGAAAGCCCACGGCUCAACCGUGGAACUGCCCUUGAUACUGCACGACUUGAAUCCGGGAGAGGGUGGCGGAAUUCCAGGUGUAGGAGUGAAAUCCGUAGAUAUCUGGAGGAACAUCAGUGGCGAAGGCGGCCACCUGGACCGGUAUUGACGCAGAGGUGCGAAAGCGUGGGGAGCAAACA
rnacentral:rRNA from 1 species